AUGGAACAUACAUAUCAAUAUGCAUGGGUAAUCCCUCUUCUCCGACUUCCAGUUAUUAUGUCAAUGGGAUUUGGCCUUAUUCUUAUUCCGACAGCAACAAAAAAUCUUCGUCGCAUAUGGGCUUUGCCUAGUGUUUUACUCUUAAGUAUAGCUAUGGUAUUCUCAGUUCAACCGUCUAUUCAACAAAUAAAUGGAAGUUCGAUCUAUCAAUAUCUAUGGUCUUGGACCGUCAAUAAUGAUUUUUCUUUAGAAUUUGGAUACUUGAUUGACCCACUUAAUUCACUCAAUCAGUUUAUAUUAACGAAUAACCGAGAUGCUCAUCCUAGGGAUACUUGCUGA
rnacentral:rRNA from 1 species